rnacentral:rRNA from 1 species
UACGGGGGGGGCGAGCGUUGUUCGGAAUUACUGGGCGUAAAGGGCGCGUAGGCGGUUGGAUAAGUCGGGGGUGAAAUCCUGGAGCUCAACUCCAGAACUGCCUUCGAUACUGGAGAGCUCGAGUCCGGGAGAGGUGGAGUGGAACUGCGAGUGGUAGAGGUGAAAUUCGUAAGAUAUUCGCAAGAACACCAGUGGCGAAGGCGGACUCGCUGGCCCGGUACUGACGCUGAGGUGCGAAAGCGGUGGGGAGCAAACAGGG